UAUCUCUGUAGAGUCUGCAUAUCAAUAAGCGGAGGAAAAGAAACUAACAAGGAUUCCCUUAGUAACGGCGAGUGAAGCGGGAAGAGCUCAAAUUUGAAAUCUUCAAGGUUCUACCUUGACGAAUUGUAGUUUAUAGAAGUGUUUUCUGUUAGUGGAGUGGCAAAAGUUCUUUGGAAUAGGACAUCAUAGAGGGUGAGAAUCCCGUAUUUGGUCAUUCCUCCUAGCGUUGUGAUACACUUUCAACGAGUCGGAUUGUUUGGGAAUGCAGUCCAAAAUGGGUGGUAAAUUUCAUCUAAAGCUAAAUAUUGGCGAGAGACCGAUAGCGAACAAGUACCGUGAGGGAAAGGUGAAAAGAACUUUGAAAAGAGAGUUAAACAGUACGUGAAAUUGUCAAAAGGGAAGCGUUUGACACCAGUGUUGUUUUUCCGAAAAUCAAUUACGAAUGUUUUGUUUUUAAGGAGUUAUGACUUCAUCGGCUUGCUCCUUUCUUUACGAAACUUUCUUAAUGCACUUUUCGGUUAACAAGUCAACAUCAAUUUCUUUUGUUGUAAAAGGGUCAUGAGGAAGGUGGCUUUCUUUUCGGAGAAAGUGUUUAUAGCCUUGUACCUCUGCAAUCGGAGAGAUUGAGGUCUGCAGCGUAGAUCCUUCGGGGUUAGAUACAUUUGUGCUAAGUUAUAGCCUUUCAUAGACAACUUGUUGACUAUGAUCAGUCAUGUAGCUUACUCGCUUAUGCUAUUUUACCUACGCUUAGGAUGUUGAUGUGAUACUGCGAGCA
rnacentral:rRNA from 1 species